rnacentral:rRNA from 1 species
AUUGAACGCUGGCGGCAUGCCUUACACAUGCAAGUCGAACGGUAACAGGUCUUCGGAUGCUGACGAGUGGCGAACGGGUGGGUAAUACAUCGGAACGUGCCCGAUCGUGGGGGAUAACGAAGCGAAAGCUUUGCUAAUACCGCAUAAGAUCUACGGAUGAAAGCAGGGGACCGCAAGGCCUUGCGCGAACGGAGCGGCCGACGGCAGAUUAGGUAGUUGGUGGGAUAAAAGCUUACCAAGCCGACGAUCUGUAGCUGGUCUGAGAGGACGACCAGCAAAACUGGGAAUGAGAAGCGGCCCAGACUCCAACGGGAGGCAGCAGUGGGGAAUUUUGGACAAUGGGCGAAAGCCUGAUCCAGCCAUGCCGCGUGCAGGAUGAAGGCCUUCGGGUUGUAAACUGCUUUUGUACGGAACGAAAAGACUCUUUCUAAUAAAGAGGGUCCAUGACGGUACCGUAAGAAUAAGCACCGGCUAACUACGUGCCAGCAGCCGCCGUAACAC